UAUUAUAGCAUAACUUCAAUUAACCAUUAAAGAAAUAUACAUAAAUAUGCAUUUCUUACUUAUUUAUUUAUUACUUGUCGUGUAUGGAUUUCCCAUUUGCUGCAAUAUUAAUUUUUUAAUUUUAGUAUCUACCUCUUGUACUACACCUGUAUCUACCUCUUGUGCUACACCUGGGUGUUAUAACAUCAUAACCACAUCUACGGCCAACUCUAAGAUCACCUUAUUUUGUUUGGCAGUGUUCUGGAAUCAAGUUAUGGCAAUAUUUUAUGCAUAAAAUCUAACAAUUACAUUAAAAAAGUGCUUAUUUUUGACAAAAACUUGUAUUUUCUUAAGGGUUAGAUGGUGUUUCAUUACCCCCUCUGGCUCCCAAGAUACACCCUAC
rnacentral:lncRNA from 1 species